rnacentral:tRNA from 1 species
GGCGGUGUAGCUCAGCUGGUUAGAGCGUUCGGUUCAUACCCGAAAGGUCGGGGGUUCGAUUCCCUCCGCCGCUACC